UAUCCCUUUCGGGUAUAAGUUUCAGAGCUGUGCACAAUUCACCACAGUCUUUUCUUUGGUCUCAGUGAUCACGGAAGGAUGCGUGGAGAUGAAGCCUCUGUCAGUGUGGGUUGCUGUUUGACUCCAUGAUCAGAGACUCUCUGCCCACCUAUGUCCUAAGUCACCCCAGGGAGAGUCCUGUGUGCCUUCCACACUACCUGCAAUCAUCCUUUCCCAGUGGGGAGUGUGCCAUCUUCUGGUAUUGGCAGAGAGUUUUGUGGUCUACCAUGUUUUUCCUGGAUGUUACAGUGAGUGUGCUGAAAACUGUAUGUAAAUCUAUAGCUUGUCUUAUUUGGGCUACACCCUCAAUCUGAAACUCUGGAUCUAUCCAGGGCAUUGUUACGCAUGUGAAUGCAUGCUUGUGUUAGUUCAUGCCCUCUUAGGAGUAAACACUAAGGUAGGAUUAGACUUGCAAGAGGUUUAUUGGGUAAUACACCUAUGAAGGAUAAAGGUGAGAGGUUAGGAGAAGAUAAGGGAAGUUGUCAGACUGAAGUGCUGAUCUGCCACCUGAGAAAAGAGAGAAAGGAGAAAGGAUUGGGUAAGACCCUUAGCCCCCGGAGAAAGUUUCAGCCAAUGGAGAGUCCCUAUGCCAAAGGCAUAUAUUAGAGGAGUCCCCUCUGGGCAGGAAUUGCCCAGUUAAUGUACUACUGUGCUCAUUCAUGGGCUGGGAGCAACCUGGGGGAGGUAUGGUAUGAAUACUGCAGUGGAUCCCAAGGUGUGGCACAUGGAGGCUGUCAAUCAGCCACACUCCCUACAGCAGGUUCUCCUGAAGGGAGAACACACACCUCCGUGCCCCACCUAUCACUGCCACAGAAACAUUUUGAAUAGCUUAAAUUUUAGCCUAAAUUUAAGGAGGCAGCUUGGUGUGGGAGCUGUUGUUCUUGGUUGAAAAAUCUGGAUCCAUCAUUUGUUAGUUAGGAAGAAGUACCUACACCUCUUGAGCCUUAGUUUUUUUUCAUUUAGAAAAUGAAGUUAAUAAUAGUCAUACAGCAGUGUUGCUGAGUUGAUUAAAUAAGUUGUAAUGUGACAGUUCCUAGCAGAUAUUUGUUGCUCUGAUAUUUUUCUCUUAUUUUUCUCCCAUUCUUUCAACCCUUUCUAUUUAUUUCUUGCCUGUCUGCCUCUCCCCUUCCCUUCCCUUCCCUUCCCUUCCCUCCCCUCCCCUUCCCUCCUCUCCCCUCUCCUCCCCUCCCCUCCCCUUCCCUUCCCUUCCCUCCUCCUCUUUCUCCAUCAGAUUCAACAUCCUCAUUCUGAGUUUUAGAACCACCUACAAAUCUACCCACACCAUAUUUUUAACCCAACCUUAUUUGUACUCAUCAAGCAGAUUAUUUUAGCAACUGAUGUCUGUUUUCAUGGAAUUAGAUAUUCCAUUACUUCUCAAUUUCUGACUGCCAUCUACAAAUGAGGGAUUUCUCCUCCUAAAAUUUUUUGGACCCUACUCAAUACUCAUGCCUUGCAAAGUGCUUUUCUAACUUUUGAGGUCUCGUGUGGGUAAAAAGAUUUCUAUUUUCCCUCCAUCUAUUCUCAGAAUUGUUUUUCACCCAGCUGUUCCAGUCACUGACAAGGAAAAACAUAAAUGAGGAAAUAAAAUUAAUUAUAUUAACAUGUAUCUAGAUUAUGAAUUCUUGAUGUUAAGAGAGAACAAGUAAACUACUCUGGAUCAAACUACAAGAUAAAAAAGGAAAAUUUAGAAUUUCUGCC
rnacentral:lncRNA from 1 species